GGGUGAGUAAUGUCUGGGAAACUGCCUGAUGGAGGGGGAUAACUACUGGAAACGGUAGCUAAUACCGCAUAACGUCGCAAGACCAAAGAGGGGGACCUUCGGGCCUCUUGCCAUCGGAUGUGCCCAGGUGGGAUUAGCUUGUUGGUGGGGUAACGGCUCACCAAGGCGACGAUCCCUAGCUGGUCUGAGAGGAUGACCAGCCACACUGGAACUGAGACACGGUCCAGACUCCUACGGGAGGCAGCAGUGGGGAAU
rnacentral:rRNA from 1 species